rnacentral:rRNA from 1 species
GACGUAGGGGGCGAGCGUUGUCCGGAUUUAUUGGGCGUAAAGCGCGCGUAGGCGGCUCGUUUAGUCGGGUGUGAAAACCCGGGGCUCAACCCCGGGCCUGCAUCCGAUACUGGCGGGCUGGAGGCAUGCAGGGGAGAUCGGAAUUCCUGGUGUAGCGGUGAAAUGCGCAGAUAUCAGGAGGAACACCGGUGGCGAAGGCGGAUCUCUGGGCAUGUCCUGACGCUCAGGCGCGAAAGCUAGGGGAGCAAACAGG